rnacentral:rRNA from 1 species
GCUCAGGAUGAACGCUAGCGGCAGGCUUAAUACAUGCAAGUCGUACGGGAUCCGAGGUAGCAAUACUUUGGUGAGAGUGGCGCACGGGUGCGUAACACGUAUGCAACCUACCUUUAACCGGGACACAACCUCGAGAAAUUGAGGCUAAUAUCCCAUAACACUGCGAAGUGGCAUCACUUUGCAGUUAAAACUCCGGUGGUUAUUGAUGGGCAUGCGCGACAUUAGCUAGUUGGUGAGGUAACGGCCCACCAAGGCUACGAUGUCUAGGGGUUCUGAGAGGAUUAUCCCCCACACUGGUACUGAGACACGGACCAGACUCCUACGGGAGGCAGCAGUAAGGAAUAUUGGUCAAUGGGCGCAAGCCUGAACCAGCCAUGCCGCGUGAAGGAUGACGGCCCUAUGGGUUGUAAACUUCUUUUGUACGGGAAAAAACCACCGGUCGUGUAUCGGUGCUGAUGGUACCGUAAGAAUAAGCAUCGGCUAACUCCGUGCCAGCAGCCGCGGUAAUACGGAGGAUGCAAGCGUUAUCCGGAUUCAUUGGGUUUAAAGGGUGCGCAGGCGGAGUGAUAAGUCAGUGGUGAAAGCCUACAGCUUAACUGUAGAACUGCCAUUGAUACUGUCAUUCUUGAGUAUUGUUGAGGUAGGCGGAAUGUGUCAUGUAGCGGUGAAAUGCUUAGAUAUGACACAGAACACCGAUCGCGAAGGCAGCUUACCAAGCAAUAACUGACGCUCAUGCACGAAAGCGUGGGGAUCAAACAGGAUUAGAUACCCUGGUAGUCCACGCCGUAAACGAUGAUCACUCGAUGUUGGCGAUACACAGUCAGCGUCUUAGGGAAACUAUUAAGUGAUCCACCUGGGGAGUACGGUCGCAAGA